GACGAACGCUGGCGGCGUGCUUAACACAUGCAAGUCGAACGGUGAAGCGCCUUCCUUUUUGGUGGGUGUGGAUGAGUGGCGAACGGGUGAGUAACACGUGAGUAACCUGCCCCCUUCUUCUGGAUAACCGCAUGAAAGUGUGGCUAAUACGGGAUAUUCUGGGUCUGUCGCAUGAUGGGUCUGGGAAAGAUAUUGUUUCGGUGGGGGAUGGGCUCGCGGCCUAUCAGCUUGUUGGUGGGGUGAUGGCCUACCAAGGCGGUGACGGGUAGCCGACCUGAGAGGGUGGACGGUCACACUGGGACUGAGACACGGCCCAGACUCCUACGGGAGGCAGCAGUGGGGAAUAUUGCACAAUGGGCGCAAGCCUGAUGCAGCGACGCCGCGUGAGGGAUGGAGGCCUUCGGGUUGUGAACCUCUUUCGCCAGUGAAGCAGGCCUGCCUCGUUUGUGGGUGGGUUGACGGUAGCUGGAGAAGAAGCGCCGGCUAACUACGUG
rnacentral:rRNA from 1 species